GGCAAGACAGACAUACACAAAAAAUACAGGCCUACAAUCCCUUAUUCACAUUUCUGAAACCCCAAAACCACACGAAAUUGAAUUCUUUUUCCCAUAACUCAUCUGGUAGCAAAACUUGAACUGAUGUGAGUCUAUUUAUAUAUAUAUAUAUCUCCUGUAUUUAUCCCACUUAAGGUGAAUCCUCAUAUGUUUUGCUUAAGAAAGAUUAAUGGGAUGUUGCCCCAGAUCCCACUGGGGAUGUUAUAUAACGUUAUUGAUUAUACACCAGAUUUCUUUUCUAAAAUCCAAAAAGUUUUGAGUUCUAAAACACAUCUGGCACCAAGGGCUUGGGCUUCGGGUCUGUGGAUGCGUCAUUGUUCACAGACUCUGUCCCAGGAGGAGACCUUGCUGCUGUGGCACCUGCUAUCUUCUAGGACAAAGACUCAGGCUGCACAGUCUCUGCUUAUUGUGAAGAACUUUUCAUUGAAUUCAGAUACUUCUUGUAGAGUGGACACUUGCUUGGUCCAGAGGAGGACACAGGACUCAAGGAAUAGGUCCCUGAUGGACUCAUCCUACAGGGAUCAAGAGAAGAACAGGAAGCCUUUAGGUUUCUGGGAAACAUCCAGGAAUGAAAAACCAGGAUUCAAAGCAGCAAAUAAAUUUGUAUAAUUUUUUGUUAAUAUUGUCUGUUUCCCACCCACAGCACUUAGGAAGAAAGCUGGUAAAAAGAAAAAAAAAAAAAGCAGUGAUUAUUUUUAGGGAUAGCA
rnacentral:lncRNA from 1 species